CCCCCGCGGGGCCCCCCGCCGCCCUCUGGCGCUCCUCAUCCGUGCCCUCGCCGGCCACUCCCAAGGCCCCUCGCUCCGGAGCCAGGCGCGCAAGUUUGGCAUCAGCGACCACCUGUCGGCUGGACCGCUGCGUCCUCUGCCGCGUGGGCUCCCAUCGGAGCGCGGGAGGGUCGGGAGCAGUCACCCCACGGCUUCGGACCCGGAGGCCGGUCCUUCCUGGGACGCGCGGAGCAGAAAUAUCCUGCGCAAGUGGAUCCUCACUUCUUUCCAGCUCAUUCCUAAAUGUACACUGCUGUGGCCUGUGAUGAAAUAUGAAGAAUGUCUAAGGAACCGUGUCUCCUGAAAGUUGCAGAUAACAACCCAUCAACUGCAAAAAUCAUAUGUCUAUUGUCGGAACAGUGAAGAAAAAACACAGGGAACUACAGAGCCUUUCCUGCCUAAAAUUGUACAGGAGGUCAAGAACAACAGUCUUGUCAUGUUUGUCUUCCUGUCCCCAGUACUUGGCACUGUGCCUGGCAUGAGAUUCCACACUCUGGUAAAAAGCAAGCCUGAAAGUUUCUAUUGUGAUGCAGUUAAAAAUGUGACAUUAGAGCUUUCAGAAGAAAAGUGAAAAAAGACUUCCCCACCCACCCACGUCCCACGCCCAGCCAAGCGUAUGAUUUUCUCCUUGUGGAAACAAGCAACUGGAUUGUUACUGACCUACGUCUUGCAGCCUUGAAAUAGCAGAAGCCAUAAACUAUGGAACACCUUCCCAGGAGCUUCAGUCAACCAACGUGACUGUUUACAUGACUAGGAUGGUUUUAAAAUCCUAAAAUCCAAAAUCCAAAGGCAAUGGCAAAGAGUACAUGCCUCAUUAUUUUUCAGAUACUUUAAACAACACAUGCAAUCAACUUGUUUUUAAAGACCGUGGAAGUUCUAGUCGUAUUGACUAGAAAAGUCUAUUGACUUUUGCUCAGAGAAAUAUCACAGUGCUGCUCAUCUUCACGGCGCUCCUCAUGGUUUAGUUUUAAAAAGAUUUGUUUAUAUCUUGCAGUCUUCAGUAAAGUGAGAAAUAAAUUCAGAACUCCAGUAAAGUGAGAAAUAAACUUUGAACUUCAGUAGCGUAAGAGAGAACUUCUGCGUGCCAUUCCUUUAAUCAAGACCAUGCAACCAAAAAAAAAAAAAAAAAAAAAAAAAAGACCAUGCAACCUUUUUCAUGCAACUAUCACAUACAGACAUGGUAAGCCUCUAAAGAUAUAUAUGGUAUAGUGUUAAAAAUAAAAGUGCAUACAAACCUAAACCUGUAUUUUGAAAAAGUAAGCCAAUACUCCAAAUAAAAUAUUGGAGGAAUAGUGUAUAAAAAGAUUCAAGACCUAAUCUGAAGAUUGUCAAAUACAUAAUGAAAUGGAACAGAUUAUGUAGUGAAUGUAUGACUAACACUGAAAUGUGGAUAUAAAUUCCUUUCAUCUUGGAACACACUACAGAGGAAGUUUUUCAUGCAUAAUAAUUUUAGCAAGCUACCUUAUUUAUAAUUUUAUUUUGUGAUUUCCCCUACUGGAAACUUAAAGAGAAGCUACUCAGUGUCGGAAAAAAAGAAAAUCUAUUCAUUCUUCCCCCUCCACACACACACACUUUACAUAGUUUUAUUUAAAAAAAAAAACUUUCUCAGGAAUUCCUAUAGAUAUUUAGAUAUAUAAAUAUUUUUCGUAUUUCCUUAGAAGAAACAUAUUUUGAGGCAUCUAUAAAAUCUAUAAAUACAAUGGAAUAAACCUUAUUGAAUAAAAAUGAUGUUCAUUCAAGGUGAGAAUAUCUUCCUAAAUUCUGAAUUUCUUCCAGAUGGCUAUUUUGAAGUGUUUUGCUUUAUUCCAGUGAAAUUUUAGUAUUUUAGGCAACUUGUACAUCUAUGUCUUGAACUGUGUUCUUCGAAGCAGCAAAAAAUAACAAUAAGAAUGAAUUUUCAAAGCAAGAUUUAUAAUACACAGAGGCCAUAGUUCAAGUAGGAUAAAAUACGUCCAAUAUGAUUUUAAAAUAAGUGUUUACUAACAUGUCAGUAGCAAACAUUUUAAUGUUUACUGACAAUUGAGGAAAAACACGUAUUUCCUUUCAAAUCCUGGGAACUUUUCAGGGACUAAGAUAAAAUAUCAACCAGUUUUAACAGUGUGGCCAACAUUAUAUAAGACAGUUUCUCACAAUGAUGAAGUGCCCCAAUGCCUUCUGUUUUAUGACUUAACUAUGUGGGAUUCCAGAAUCAAAUUCUAAGGAGAAUAAUAGUUAAAAGCAACAGUAGGGCUUAUUUAAAAGAUGCCUUUUAUCUUUUCACAAUGUAGACCACUGAGAACAGGAUCCAUUCUUAGAAGAUGGAAGUAAAGCAGAAAUGAGCCAAAGCCUAUUAAUACAAUGAGUACAUCCAAAUUUUCAUAGUGACAGCAGAGCUAGUUCACUCAGAGGUGUUACAUGUUGCUUCGACUUGGUGAUGUAAGAGGAAAUGAACAUCAUAGCCUUUUUCUGCAACAUAAGGGACACUUUUUUUGAAGACCUGCCUGCUUGUAACCAACAUAACAUAACUCAAUAUAAUUAAAAUUUCUGAAAUAUUUCUUUA